AGUUCAGAAGUGUGUCCUUCCGAACUUAAAGAACUGGAGGCCAGUCUCUUUGUUAUGUGCAGACUAUAAAAUACUUGCGAAAGUACUGUCCAAUAGGUUGAAGAAUUGUUUGGAUUCAGUAAUCCAUGAUACACAGACUUAUUCUAUAUCUGGUCGUUCAAUCAUGGACAGUAUUUUUUUAGUUCAGGAUAUUAUUGGAGUAGCAAAAUUUAAUAAAUUGGACAUUGGACUCUUAUCAAUUGAUCAAGAGAAAGCUUUUGAUAGAGUAGAUCAUCGGUAUCUUUUCAACACCAUGAGGGCAUUUGGAUUCCCCAGAAUUUUUACAUCAUGGAUUGGUGCUCUCUAUGUGGGGGCUACAGUGCUUCUCA